AUAUAAGGAGCCUGGGCCAGGCCUGAGUAUUCAGCGAUGGCAUCUGCAUGGUGGCCCUGUCUCAUCUUGGCUCUGCUCUCCAGCUUGGCAGCCUCUGGCUUCCCGAGAAGCCCCUUUCGGCUGCUUGGGAAACGGAGCCUCCCGGAAGGGGUAAGAACUUUCACCAGGGGGUGGGACGGAGUGGGGCAGGGCAGGAUAGAGCUGGUUGCCCAGCUGCUGAAAGUGUAGGCUGUAACAGCAGACUCCUCACAGCUAGCAAACAGCUUACGGCCCCCUGCCCUGGCAGCCUCCAACAGCACAGGACUCCUGGCAAAGAGCGUCACAGAAUGACCACCCCUCCAACCUCACAGGAUGUAGCCCAAGAGGGCCCCUCACAGGCAUCCCUUCUUUCCGCAGACACUUCCUUAGCACUUGCUGGUACCUGGCUCUGUGAAGCGGUUCCUGCCACACCCUCACGAAGCAUCUUUAUAUCCCUAGGGGGAGGGGGCUCAAACACCUCCCUAGAGCCUCUCGAAAUCCAACACCCCUAUUGGAAAGAGGGUGUCUGGAGACUUCCCUUGGCACAGGA
rnacentral:sRNA from 1 species